rnacentral:SRP_RNA from 1 species
GCCAGGCAUGGUAGCACGUGCCUGUAGUCCCAGCUACUUGGGAGGCUGAGACAGGAGAAUCACUUGAACCCAGGAGGCGGGGGUUGCAGUGAGCCAAGAUCUCACCACUGCAUUCCAGCCUGGGUGACAGAGUGAGACUCUGUCUCAA